GGGAGGCAAAAGCUGAUCUCUACCUCCCCGAGGUGCCUCCUGGGCAACUGCUCCUAUGGAGCAGGCUAACAGAGACAG
rnacentral:ribozyme from 1 species